GCCGGGAUGGCAGAGGUGGUCAACGCGCGCGUCUGAAAAACGCGUUAUGUCAGUUCGAUUCUGACUCCCGGCACCA
rnacentral:tRNA from 1 species